rnacentral:lncRNA from 1 species
CCCAGAAUACUAGGUUCGAGCAGCCUUUCGAAUAGUCAUCGGAAAGUCGAUGCAUAAGAGGGCGUCGAUUGUCCCCUAGAUUAUCAUAAGAGCCUUAUAGCUCUACAAAUGGUCGAUUGGAUCAGUGGAGCCGUCGUAUGGCUUCAUCUGCCGUAUCUUGAAUCGAGAUGAAAUUGGAUCGUCCAGGAUGCGCUGAGAGAGAGAUUGAAAAGUAUGGAAGUCAUAGUCAUUGGACGACUUCCGAU